ACUACAAACUGCAAAUGUGCAGUAACCAGAUUUACUGCGUUGUAGUGCCAGUGAACGUCUUUUAGGUGACACUACUGCGCAGAAGCCUAAUAAUACUGAG